rnacentral:rRNA from 1 species
AGAUUGAACGCUGGCGGCAGGCCUAACACAUGCAAGUCGAGCGGUAGAGAGGUGCUUGCAUCUCUUGAGGGCGGCGGACGGGUGAGUAAUGCCUAGGAAUCUGCCUAGUGGUGGGGGAUAACGUUCGGAAACGGCGCUAAUACCGCAUACGUCCUACGGGAGAAAGCGGGGGACCUUCGGGCCUCGCGCCAUUAGAUGAGCCUAGGUCGGAUUAGCUAGUUGGUGAGGUAAUGGCUCACCAAGGCGACGAUCCGUAACUGGUCUGAGAGGAUGAUCAGUCACACUGGAACUGAGACACGGUCCAGACUCCGUACGGGAGCAGCAGUGGGAAUAUGGACAAUGGGACGAAAGCCUGACUCCA